GAUGAACGCUAGCUACAGGCUUAACACAUGCAAGUCGAGGGGAAACGAUAUUGGAAGCUUGCUUCCGAUAGGCGUCGACCGGCGCACGGGUGAGUAACGCGUAUCCAACCUGCCCACCACUUGGGGAUAACCUUGCGAAAGUAAGACUAAUACCCAAUGAUAUCUCUAGAAGACAUCUGAAAGAGAUUAAAGAUUUAUCGGUGAUGGAUGGGGAUGCGUCUGAUUAGCUUGUUGGCGGGGUAACGGCCCACCAAGGCGACGAUCAGUAGGGGUUCUGAUAGGAAGGUCCCCCACAAUGGAAUUGAGACACGGUCCAAACUCCUACGGGAGGCAGCAGUGAGGAAUAUUGGUCAAUGGGCGAGAGCCUGAACCAGCCAAGUAGCGUGCAGGAUGACGGCCCUAUGGGUUGUAAACUGCUUUUAUAAGGGAAUAAAGUGAGAGUCGUGACUCUUUUUGCAUGUACCUUAUGAAUAAGGACCGGCUAAUUCCGUGCCAGCCGCCGCCGUAAGAC
rnacentral:rRNA from 1 species